GAUGAACGCUGGCGGCGUGCCUAAUACAUGCAAGUCGAGCGAACGGACGAGAAGCUUGCUUCUCUGAUGUUAGCGGCGGACGGGUGAAUAACACGUGGAUAACCUACCUAUAAGACUGGGAUAACUUCGGGAAACCGGAGCUAAUACCGGAUGAUAUUUUGAACCGCAUGGUUCAAAAGUGAAAGACGGUCUUGCUGUCACUUAUAGAUGGAUCCGCGCUGCAUUAGCUAGUUGGUAAGGUAACGGCUUACCAAGGCAACGAUGCAUAGCCGACCUGAGAGGGUGAUCGGCCACACUGGAACUGAGACACGGUCCAGACUCCUACGGGAGGCAGCAGUAGGGAAUCUUCCGCAAAGGGCGAAAGCCUGACGGAGCAACGCCGCGUGAGUGAUGAAGGUCUUCGGAUCGUAAAACUCUGUUAUUAGGGAAGAACAUAUGUGUAAGUAACUGUGCACAUCUUGACGGUACCUAAUCAGAAAGCCACGGCUAACUACGUG
rnacentral:rRNA from 1 species